UCCCGCUUAGCUCAGUGGUAGAGCGCGUCACUAGUAUACUGCGCUAUGACGAGGUCAGUCGUUCAAGUCGGCUAGUGGGAA